rnacentral:lncRNA from 1 species
UUUAACCCCAAAUAUAUGCAAAUGAUGGAAUGGUAUGCAGCUGUUAAAGAUCAUGUUUUCCAUUAUUUCAGUGUUGAUCUCCCCAUUAAACUGAAGUCCAUGAGGCCAGGGAUCUUGCCUUUUCAAUUCCUUCUGCAUCCCUGGUAUCCAAAGAAGUUCACACAGUAGGCUCCCAACUUCUCUUCUUGCCUCAUACAUACCCGGCCACGGAUGCUGUCUCAUCGGCUGGAUGCACAACACUUCAAUGGAGCAAGGGCUUUCUGUUGUUGUUGUACCUGCCCUCUUGCUCCAUCAACUCCAGAACCCUGGUGAAUUAGGCUUCACUGCCUUGCAGACUUCCUAGUGAGUGCUGGGACAUCCAUUUAUUUGGGAGAGAACAAAAUGCACAGUUGUACGAAGGCAAAGGCUGAACAGUUGGGGAGAGCGACAGUUGGAGAGAAGAGCAUCAGAGGCCUCGUGGUAAACCCAAAUGAGAGCUGCGCUGUGCGGGAGGAUGCCUGGGAGGCACCAACGCCCCUGGAACUUAGAUCUGGACGGCCUUGCAGGCAAAGAUACACAAUCCCCCAAGUUAAAAUGUUGAAGGGCAACAGACCAAAACCAGAACAACACAGUUUCCACCUCCUCCCCUUCACCUUUGCCCAUUAGCAGAGUUAAAUUUAUACCAGAGUUAAAUUUCUAUGUAUGAACUCACACACAGAAACCAAUAUACACUACUACUGGAAACGUAAAUCACGACAACUCUUUUGGAUGGCAACGGACGUAAAAAUAACUUAAAAAUAUAAAAUUACUUGUGACACACAAAGAAUAAGAGAUUAUUAAACAGCAUCAAGUAAUUUACCAACUUUGAAAAUAGAGGAAAAUGUAUCAUACAUGUAUUCAUGUACUCUGGAAGGUUCCCUACUGAAGGCAGGCCCUAUUGGGAUUCUCGGAGUCUAUCUUUCCAUAGUAAGUCCCUGAGAGGUCAGUCUUAUUUUCCAACUGUCUGUGCUAUGCACAUACGCAUCCCUGCAUUAUAUCAGUACUUGUUUAAAGUCACCUGAUGUUAGAGCUGAAGGCACUUUCACGUUCAUUUAUUCUAACCCCCUUAUUUUACAUGUGGGAAAAUUGAGAGCUCAAUGAGUUUUCUCAAAGUUAAUAGUGGAGGUGGGCCUGGAAUACUGCAUAUUUCUAAAAUGUCCCAUUUAAUGCCACUCUUUAACUACAGACCACACCAACUCCCCUCAGAAGAAUGCAGAGUACACAAAUUUUAAAUAAGGAAGAAAUUGCAUGCUUGCCAUCAAGAGGUGUACCGCUUGUCCACACCAUCUCCGCUUUUCUCUUGCCCUGGAGGCCCCAGCAGCAGAAUUGUGAGCACAUAAGCCAUGGAGGAUGACGCUGCAGAGGAGAACAUGUGUUCCUGUGGUCAGGGCAUCAGCCACCAUCGCCCUGCUCGGGGCCCCUUCACAGGGACCAGAGAGAGCAGUGGUGAUAAGGUGUGGCCGAGGGCUGUUCUUUUUGAGCCAUUUUAGUGAUGCUGGGAUGUUAUGCAAGGAAAUCUUUGGCAUUGCAGUAAUCCUGGAUUAUAAAUAAUUUAGCAUAUUUCUUUGUAAACUACAGGCCAGAAUCCUUGCAAAUAAGAAAGGAUUAACUUUUUUAGAAGUACUUGCUCUUGAGACUUUAAGUUCAAGGCAGAACAAUGCUUGCCGUGGUAAUUCCAUCUAUUUUAAGAUCACAAAACCAUACCAAGUUGAAACCAGAGCAGAAGAUAUUAAUGCAGUGCUCUCUCUGAAGUGCCCAAUAGUGGGACGAGAAAGCUUUCAAAGGGAAUUAAGUAGACAGAGAAAGCUCCCUGUUCAUGUCCAAAUCACAAGGAGGCGGUUGAAUAGGAUUCACAGUUCUCCGUGGGAAGGACCCACACCACAGCUAAUGUUCAAAACAGGGGGGAGAUGUCUCGGGAAGAUCAAGGACCCAGAAUUCUGCUGUUAGAAUCAGCUGCCUGCCCAUUAGAGCCUCAAAAGGACCCUCUACCAUGUGUGAGCCAAUAUGAUCCUGCAAAUGAGCCCAUUUUUCUUUUUGUAACUGGCCCAAACUUUAUCUGAAGGAAGCUAUCAUUAUGUAAUAUUUCCAAAGCACCCUUGAUGUAAACUUCAGAUCUGAUAUGUGGGUGUAUGUAUGUGCACGUGUGUGUGCACAUUGUGUGUGUGCAUGUGUGCAGUGGGAGAGGGUGAAAGGACAGUGAAGAGUCAGAUGUACAUACAAAGUAGAAAAACUGAUGGGCAGCUGCUCUGAAUAUGCAGGAACAGAGAAGCAUCCAGGGAGACCCUCAGGUCAAGGCUCAGCACCUGGUACAUCACACAGACAACAGACAUGAGAGGAACAAUAUUAGCUCCAGAGAAAGUCAGAGCCAGGAACAGUAGAAAAGUCAAACGGGCAGCAAGAGGCGGAGACUCAGAAACCAUCAGCCAGUAAGUAGGUGGCAAGGCAGGAGCAUGAAGGACUAGGACAGUCAGUGAACUGCACCUCCAAAGCCUGUCCUCCAGUGCCCACUCUGCUCUGGCCUCUGCCUGUCUUUCCAGCCUCAUUUCCUGCUAUUCUGCACGUGACUCCUUUACUCCACCAAAUUAUAAAUGCAGCCUACUCUGCAUGCUGUUUUCUAGCUUCUUGCCUUUGGUUUUUCUGUUCUUUGUGCUAAGAAAAUCCUUUCUCCCUUCUCCUAAAAAUGUAUCUCAUUUUCCAAGAUUUAGCUUUAUGGUCACCACCUCCUGGAUGCCUUCGUGGCUUCCCAAACCUUCAGGGUGGGUUUAGUACCACUCCUACAAGCUCUGAUGAUAUCCUGCCAAUUUCCAAGCUUCCUCCAGAGGAAGAUGACAAAGAAGUUUCAUCUUUGAAAAAAGCUCUAAAAGAAUUAUGGCUGUUUGGGGCAGGCGCUGUGUUGAGAAUGAUUCCGAGGCCUCAUCCAGAAUCCAUUGGAAAGACUGCUGCAGUCAGUUACGGAUGCCUGCCAUUUAAGGGUGUGGGUUGAAGUUUAGCCAUUCCUGAUGAGGCCAACAUCUUCAUUAGGCAGAUGAGGAACCUGAGGCUGAAAGAUGGGAAAUGUCUUGCCCAGUGUUACAAGGCUGGGUAACAGCACACUCAGAUGGGAAUUCCAGGUCUUGGGAUUCCUAAGCAAGUACUCCAUUUAAAUAAGAUUCCCAAAGAUUCUAAAUCAGGAAUAUUGAAACUCUUAACAUAUUUUUAACUUUUUUCCAGGGGAGGAGGGUAAUUAUAUAGUGAAGGAGCCAGUGAAGAAAAACUUGAAGCUUUUGCAAUUUUGCUUGGACACCCACUCACCUGAACCCGUGCCUUAUAAUGUUUUCUCCUGCCCAAUCCUCCAAAAGUCCCCGCCUUUAUGCUUUUUUUAAGUGAGCACUGUUGGUACCACCAGUGUCUAUUACCCAGGUUAAAAUGAAGACUUCGAGCUGACUCUCCUGGUAUCACGAAUAUACAAUCAAAAUGGAUGCCUACACCUCUGUGUCAGGGAGGAAAAGUAGAGGAAGUUGAAGCCACAUUUUCCAACUUCAUCCUUCACUCCUUUCACUCUAGAGGCUGAAACUUUCCUGACAAAGAAAUAUACUUAGAAUGGUUUCAUUAGAUAAACUCUUUCCCUAUCUUACUGUGAAAGAAAUUUUCCAGUGAGUUCCAGUUUCAGGAGGUUACAAGGUAAAAGGGAAGGAAAGUUGGCAUGCUCCCAGCCUGACAAGAAGUUGUCGCAUUACCAUCAACGUCACAUAAAUUUAGCUGGAACAUUGUAUCGGAUUCUAUAAUGCACUUACGUGAGCGAUUAAAUGGUGAGAAACACAUAACAUUUGCCUGCCCACCCCCUCUCCCAUUGCCCUCUGCUUCUGUGAGAGUUUGGGAUUCCAGAUGAAUUCUCCCAGCAUAGCCUCAGCUUGCAAAGGGUCAUCUAACCUUUAAACUUCAGUCCAGCAAAGCAGGCUGAAGAGAAUCACCAGGGUGUCUCCUGUUAUGUGCUUCAACAUCAAAUGACCUGCUUCACCAGGUUACCCAAGGACACAGCUUUAACCAAAGACGUGAGAAUUCCCAGAACUGGAAGCAAAUGCGAGCUGAUGAUAGGACAUUCCCCAAACCCCCUAUCCCAGGAUGCUCGACAGCAAUUAGCAGCCAUGUCCUUUGUCUCACCUCUGCUGUGUUUUUAGCAGCUCAGUUUCUUCAGAGGACAAGGCAAGAGGGAAUGGGAUUAGGCUGGGAGCCCUGGUUUUCUGAGGGAAGAGGGUAUUAAACAUUUUCACUUGGAGUUUCUCUGAAGGGUUUCUGGACAACCAAACCCCCACUCCGCGCCCCUGCGAAACUCCUCCUGGCACCGCCCCUGACUUUCUAUUUUCUUUAGGUGCCCACCUUACCCCUCCACAAGAAAUCAAAGCAGCCGAUAUGCAGUUGAAUUUCCAAGUGGAUUCCCUUGUAUCCGUUUGUCUGGGUGUGUGUGUGCGUUUUUAAAAAAUUUUAAAUUUUGGAUAAGCCCUCUAAGAAAGAGGCUCCUAAGGGAAGCGGGGGCUGAAGGAAGGAAGAAGUGGGUGACAAAGCCUCUAGGGGAUCAAUAAAUUCAGCUGCUCCUGUGUACAAGGGAAAGGGCAGUGCAGGAAGUCAGAUGGGAGAAGAAAUCCCAGAAUCAUAAAUUUUAAAGCUGAAAGGAUCUUUAGAGGUCACCUGGCAUAACCUCCUCUAUUUUAUAAAUGAGGAAACUAAAAGUCAGACAUGCUAAUGGACCUGCCCAAGGUUAUGUAACUUGGCGAUGAGAAAAGGAGGACCCAAACCCAGACCUCUCAAGUCCCCCGUCUGGGCCCCUUCAUCUUCUUCACAGCCCACAGCAGCUGCCACCUCGGCCGAGCAGCCAUUUUGAUCGCUAAAGUGCCUGCGGGAAGACCCCAUGGCCACCCCCAGACACUUCCCAUGAUGCUCCUCUCCUCAGAAGCCAUGUCAUGGCUGCCCACUCUCUCCAAAGACUCCCUCCACCAGCCACGCGGCCCGCAGCCAGAGUUCUUCCUGUGAAGAGCCCUCACCGCUUCACUUUUCAUGUGAAGCUGGCAAAGCCGCUUCAGCGAUCAUUUUUUAACACGGCAGCUCCCUGACAAGAGGAUUAAAGCAGGCGGCUUUCAAAAAAGUAUCAAGAAUAAUUUAAAAUGCAAUAUGUUAAUGCUUGUCCAGAGUUUUGUACACUUUCGUGAAAAGUCAUCAAUCUCUCCCGCCACACCCUAACGACAAUCCUGUAACUGGCACGGUUUUCUGACAUUAAGAAAAAAAAUUAGUGAACACAGUCAUAAAUUAGGACCAGAAAUCUAACUGCAGAUGAGGCUUCCGAAGUCACAAAGCAAAAUUGGGCGUGGAGUCACAAACUGAGGAUUUUUGAGGGAGUAGGUGGUGGUUAUUUUGGAGGAUGGUUCCUUUGCAGUCUUCCUGGAGGAUGAGCAAGGGGAUCAGAAAACUGCCGCUCAAACGCUAGUGUGCAUCAGAAUCACCUGGAGAGUUUGUGAAAACAGAUUGCUGGGCUCCCUCCCUAGACUUUCGGAUUCUGCAGGUCUGGGGCAAGGCCUGAGAAUAUGCAUUUCUAGCCCGUUCCCAGGAGCUGAUGCUGCUGGCCUGGGGAACCAUGCUUUGGGAACCUCUGGGCUGAAAAGACACUUUCAGGCCUCCCCUGGUGUUAGGACUUCAUUAAAAUAUAGAAGCAAGAAUGUGAGGUGCAACUUAAACAUCCCUGCACAGGCACAGCAGGCAAGGCGGGAAAUGAAAUCGCACAGACACCAGGGCUCGUUGUCACAGCAUCAAGCAGUGCCUUAAACAGGGAGGUAAGCAGUGUCCUCCAGCUGCUACAGUCACCUCUAAAAAGAUAAUGCCUGUCUGAGCAAAAGCAAACACCAGAAGGCUUAAAAACCUGGGGUCCCCAUGCUCAUUCCUCAAGCAGUUGAAAAUGUCUUUAUGUAGAGAAAGUACAGUGUAAAUAGAAAGUAGGGCUCGAUUUCCACAAGCUCAAGUCAAAGAAUCUGCUGAGAAGGCCACAUGACACACGAAAUGAAAUCCAGGUCCUUGAUACCCGGAGGCAAGAAAGCGAACGGAAGAUCCAAGACAAUCCAAAGGUUCCUGAAUUUUUACAGUAAACAGUUCUGAUCGGAUUCACUUGCUAUUUUGGAACAUACAUGAAGUUCAUUAACUGGCAUAUAUUAAAAAAGAAAAAAAAUUAGAAAAAGAAGGAGCUGGAGGACAAAUCAGUAAUUGCUCCUUUAGAGCAAACCAAAGUUACUGAGAAAAUCUCCUAUAAAGGCUCUGUCAAAACAAGUCACUUAAGGAUUAGUGAGAGCUAAAUCCUCCGUCAGAGAGAUUUUUCUCAACAGUCGUAAAUGGGUUUUAGUAUCGGAAAAUCUUAGAAAAUAUACUUCUCCUGCCUCCACCCCCCUCUCAGAAUGGCUCUUUCAAUAGCUCGGCAUCUUGUGGGAGCAAAGUAUUUCCUUAGGCUGAGGCUUUUUAUUUAAAAAAUAAA